CCGCCAGACUCCUACGGGAGGCAGCAGUGGGGGAUAUUGCACAAUGGGGGGAACUCUGAUGCAGCGACGCCGCGUGGGUGAAGAAGUAUUUCGGUAUGUAAAGCCCUAUCGGCAGGGAAGAAAUUGGACGGUACCUGACUAAGAAGCCCCGGCUAACUACGUGCCAGCAGCCGCGGUAAUACGUAGGGGGCAAGCGUUAUCCGGAUUUACUGGGUGUAAAGGGAGCGUAGACGGCGAUGCAAGUCUGAAGUGAAAGGCGGGGGCCCAACCCCCGGACUGCUUUGGAAACUGUAUGGCUGGAGUGCAGGAGAGGUAAGUGGAAUUCCUAGUGUAGCGGUGAAAUGCGUAGAUAUUAGGAGGAACACCAGUGGCGAAGGCGGCUUACUGGACUGUAACUGACGUUGAGGCUCGAAAGCGUGGGGAGCAAACAGGAUUAGAUACCCCAGUA
rnacentral:rRNA from 1 species